rnacentral:tRNA from 1 species
ACCUGGCUAGCUCAGUCAGUAGAGUGAUUCUUGAUCUAGGGGUUGUGAGUUCAAGUCCCACGUUGGGUG